rnacentral:rRNA from 1 species
AACGAACGCUGGCGGCGCGUCUUAAACAUGCAAGUCGAACGGCAGGAAGGGGCUUGCCCCUUCUGAGAGUGGCGGACUGGUGAGUAACACGUGGGUGACAUACCUUUUAGUUGGGGAUAGCUAUUAGAAAUAGUAGGUAAUACCGAAUGUGACCGUACCUGUUAGAGGGGUACGAGGAAAGGAGCUAAGGCUUCGCUAAAAGAAUGGCUCGCGGCCCAUUAUGCUCGUUGGUGAGGUAACGGCCCACCAAGGCGAUGAUGGGUAUCCGGCCUGAGAGGGUGAACGGACACAUUGGGACUGAGAUACGACCCAGACUUCUACGGGAGGCAGCAAUUAAGAAUAUUCCGCAAUGGACGAAAGUCUGACGGAGCGACGCCGCGUGGAUGAAGAAUCCCGAAAGGUUGUAAAAUCCUUUUAAGCCUGAUGAAUAAGCACAGUAGGGAAUGAUUGUGCGGUGACCGUAGGGCUUGAAUAAGCACCGGCUAAUUACGUG